rnacentral:rRNA from 1 species
UACAGAGGUGGCAAGCGUUGUUCGGAAUUACUGGGCGUAAAGGGCGCGUAGGCGGCCAACUAAGUCGGAUGUGAAAUCCCCAGGCUCAACCUGGGAACUGCAUCCGAUACUGGAUGGCUUGAAUCCGGGAGAGGGAUGCAGAAUUCCAGGUGUAGCGGUGAAAUGCGUAGAUAUCUGGAGGAAUACCGGUGGCGAAGGCGGCAUCCUGGACCGGCAUUGACGCUGAGGAGCGAAAGCUAGGGGAGCAAACGGG